GGCGGCGGGAGAGUAACGCGUAAGAACCUGCCCUUGGGAGGGGAACAACAGCUGGAAACGGCUGCUAAUACCCCAUAGGCUGAGGAGCAAAAGGAGGAAUCCGCCCAAGGAGGGGCUCGCGUCUGAUUAGUUAGUUGGUGAGGCAAUGGCUUACCAAGGCGACGAUCAGUAGCUGGUCCGAGAGGAUGAUCAGCCACACUGGGACUGAGACACGGCCCAGACUCCUACGGGAGGCAGCAGUGGGGAAUUUUCCGCAAUG
rnacentral:rRNA from 1 species